CGCUUCCACUCGCCGUUUGUUUGUCGUUCACGUUCGCGUCUUCGUUCAGCUGUCGUCUUCGUUCGCGUUCUUCGCUGUUCACGUUCGCUCGGCGUUCACUGUUCACGUUCACUUGUCGUUCACCGUUCGAGUUCGCAUUCGCGUUUGUCUGGAAGCCAUGUUGCUCUGCUUCAAACUCUGCGACCAACCCGCGCACUCCACCAAGCCGUCGAACUGCUCUCUUUUGUCGUCGCCGUGAGUUCCCUAAACCCGUCACCAGACAAUGCACUAACACAACACCAACACUCUACUUCAAACUCUGCAACUUCUGAUUUCUAUUACAAUAAGUAACUAUUUGUUUUGAUAGUGGUUUGGAUUUUUUCGUAGACUGAAUUAAAGUUUAAAAUAGUUACGUUCUCUUCUCUAUCACAUUGAUAUUAAGCUUUGAAUUCUCUUAUUUCGUUUUAAUUUUACCGCACUCAACAUGUUUGAUGAAAUGCUUUAACCACAUUUCUAGUUGGUUUUAUAAUUUUUAGCUUUUAAAAACUAAGUAAGUUGAUUGCAUGUGAAAUUAGAAUAAUUGGAUUUUAGUAAUUAGGAAAUUUUAGCUGCACAAAUAGCAUCUUUGUAGAAAAUAUGUUAGCAUGAUGAUUCCUCUUGCAUUAGUGUUCUUCUGGUAAAUUGUACUGUUAUUGUGAACUUGUUAAUUUGCUAAUUGUUCUUGUGUUGUUCUAUUGUUCCUCUGUUACUUUUAAUUUUUUUUAUUUUUGUUGUGAUUUCCUGUUUUUGAUUUAAGCUGUGAUUGAAGGUUCUUUGGUUUGGGUAUUCUUCACUUUCCUGUAAGCUUAGCUUUUAAUUCUUUGAGCAUACACGUAUCAAAUCAUCGUUUUCAGCAAUGGUGAUUUUUAGAUUUUUUUUGGGUUGCUUUGUUUUAAAUGUUCCUAUUGUUGUUGUGUUUUUGCUGUGAUUUAAAUGUUCUUUUGAUUUUUUUUUUUUGAAUGCCCAGUCAGUACUUGGUUGAUUGGUUUUGCUCACUGAUUGUAUUUGAUGAUAAAUUUUAAAUUGAUAACUCUAUUACUGCUUUACUGUCUAUUUCUGUAGUUAAAUUUUAUUACUGUCUGUUUCUGUAGUUAAAUUUUAUUAAAGUUUCUUGAAUUUGCACUGCCUAUGUUACUGAUUCACUGUUCCUUCAUUACUUUUUUUGUUGUUAAUCAUUGUGAUGAGCUUUGUUAAAAUUGGGUUGAAAACGGUUAAUCUUUAUUUUUCACUGUUCUAACCUCUGUUCUUAUUAAAAAAUUUGCAAUUGGUGAUCUUUUGAUUUAUUAUAUGCUUCAUGUUUUCAUUCUCUUGUGAAGAAAAAAUUUGCAAUUAGUGAUGGUAUGAUUCAUGUUUUGAUUGUUCUGUUAUAUAAAAAAAAUUCUGUUUUCAUUGUUUUGUUCAUUGUUUGGUUGCAUUGUCGCUGUUCUUGAUCUCUGCCGACUUGCUAUCCCUCCUCCGUGUUGGAUUCUUUGUCUCAGGUUUUGUUGUGUUUUUGUUUCAGCCUCAGUUGUGUGUUUAUUGUGUAACACUAUCAUUUUUGCCUCCUCAGUUGUGUUUAUUGUGCAACACUAUCAUUUUUUGUUUUACUUUUUGACUUAUAGCUACAUUAAGACAAUAUUCUCUAUCUUUAACUUGUACAUUGUAAUUCAAUCCAACUAUUUUUAAUGGAAGUAUAAUUAUGUUAAUUGUCAACAAAUUUACAGCAAGUUAUUGCAUAUUUUGAUGAUUAAUUACAUUUAGUUAGUGAUAUUUUAUGUAAGAUUUUAAAUUUGAAAGAUAUUUAGAAUGUUUAUUUAUAAUUUAUUUAUUAUUUUAUUAUGAAACGGUUUUUCUGAUUGAACCACGGUUAGAUCGAUUAAAUUAGUAAAUUAGUAAUUAGAACAGUUUGAUGACUAGUUCGAUUUUCAGAACCUUUGUUAAUACCACACUUGAGGAAGAUGGAAGAGAUGUAGUUCGUGAUCCGAUAGAGUAUGGCUCUGCAUUAUGCUACGAUGUAAAUCUCUGCAUUAUGCUACGACGUAAAUCGUGGCAAAUAGAAUACGACUUCUAGCAUCAGACAACCAGAAACUUCAUGUUAGGAGAUUGCACAUGCUUCACCGAAGCAAUUCUUGAUGUUCGACUACGUCACUUCUCUAUUGUGUUCUUGCCUUAGGAUAUCAGAUCUUUGCUGCUGGUUAUGUUGACGUAACGUGCAAAACGACGUCGAUAGCCUAAUCCCUCACUAUCUUUAAAAAUUCACCACGUGAGUUUAUGACGUCCAGAAUUGUUAGCGGUAUCAUUAUAAGUGUCGCAUUUGCUAAAUAUAUACAGUGCAGCCAUCAUUGAGCCUUUAUAUCAUUCUGAAUAUCAGUCUGAUAUAGGUGAUGUGCCUAGUAGAGGCAUUUUAAUUUUUGUCGACAAUGGGGUAUGUGGAAGGGUAGCAAGUGAGGAAUCCCACGUGUGAGACUUGGGAGAAAAGAAGCCUCGAUAAAUUUUUUCAGGUGGUUCAUUCUUAGAGGAGGAGAAUAUACUUCAAUUGAUGAAUGAUUCUUUUGUUAGCUAUCAAAGUGGCAGGCGUGUAUCUUUGACUAGUAGUGAUUAUGUGGUGACAGCGUUUUAGGAUUGGCACAUUUAAUUUGCAAAAUUUUGAAUAUAUUUGUUGUGGUUGAUUCAUUGCCGAUCCUAUCUUUAUAAAUUCUUUUUCUACAUAUUACAAUGCAUUCACAACUCUUGAUCAUGAUGGUCCAAAAAUGUUACCGUGUGAACAUGCACCGUGACAUCUAGAAAAAUAAUUUAUAAAGAUAAUAUCUGUAAAUGAAAUCAUUCACAACCAAUGUUCGAAAUUCUGCAAACUAAAGGCAUCAAUCCUAAAACGCAACAUGCCACUAAUUAACCACUGUUAAUCAAAGAUACACAACCACCACUUUGAUAUCUAGCAAAAGAAUAACUUAUCAGCUGGGCACAUCUCCCUCAUCUAGGAAUGAUCCACCUGACAAAAUUCAUUGAUACUCUCUUUAGUAAGUUCCAUAUGCAGAACUCCUAACCUGCAACCCCUCUACAGACCAGACCGACCCACCAUUCCCCAUUGCCAUCAAAGAAAAUUAAAAUGUAUCUAAUAGACAUAUCACUUAUAACGGAACAAUAUAUAGGCCCAAUGAUAGGUGCAUCGUAUAUAUUUCGGUCAUAUCUAACAAAUCUAGCAAAUGUGAAGCUACUGUUGUCACCUAUCGUAAUACCGCUAACAAUUCUGAAUGUCAUAAACUCACAUUGUGGUGAACCCUCAAAGGUAACAAAAAGGGUCAGGCUCUCUCGGUGUCAUAGACUCGCAUGUUGUUGUCAACAUAAGCAACAGUAAACAUCCGACCUCACAAGCCAGGAACAGCAAAGCGUAGUCGCGUCUAACAUCAGAAACUCCUACCAUGAAUUUUCUGGCAGUAGUCAUGAUAUCUUGGAUGAGACUUUACCAAAAUAUCGAAUCGCAAAAUACCUGGGAAAUCCUACAUACAAAAAAAUGCUUAGAAAAUAUGCAUGUGAUAUAAAUUGAAUUGAAGUCCAACAUUAACCAACUUUUCUUUUUUAUUUUUACUUAAAAUCUUGGCUCCAAAGCACUUCUCAUGAGAUAAAACACAUAUGAUAUAACUAUUUUAAUUCAACUGCCACAUAGAGGGGGAAAAUGUGGAACAUAAAGAAAAAAUUUGUAAUUCAUACCUUUUUAAUCUAUUAGUUUCUUAGUCUUUUGGAAAAUAAUCUCAUUUAAAAGUAACAAUCAAAUUUUUAAGAAUUUUUAGAAGAAAAAAUCUUGAAAAUAAUAUAUAGUUACAACAAAGAUAUAAAAAAAUACCUGCUUAACUAAAGCAAAAGUAAGAUCACAAACUACAUCUCUUCCCUCCUCCAGAAGUAUGGUAUUAGCUACCUAUGUGAUCAGUUCCUCUAAAAGGUGCCUCGGCAUAGUAUCCAUAUCUAUAUAGAAUCUAAAUGUAUAUAACAGUUAAGAAUCAUGUUAACAACAUUACGGGAAAAUUUAGAAAAACAAGUUUCACAAAAGCUUAAUAACUAAUAAGUAGAGCUUAAUCAAAUUAUCAGUGCCAAAGAUCUUGUUCAAAGUUUUAGGUCAUACCAAGUUUGAGAUAUGAAGCUUCCACAUUCUUGAGCUUUAGGUUCGUUGCUUAUAAAUCAUGUUAUGAAUAAUUAACCAUAAAACAUAAGAGAAUCACAAGCAUGGCUAAAUGGUCUAAGUAAUUCAGCGGUAAACAUAAAUCCUGUUUAUUUCUUUUAGUAUAAUAUAUUAAGAAUUCUGCUAUUUCCUAUGAUUCCUCUUCUCCAAGUGUCCCUAUUCUAUGACUUUCCACUAUUAUUUCCAAAACUAGAGAAAUUAAUGAGAUAAUUCCACCAUUAACCCCUCAAGCGAAAGCUUACAAGUAACACAAUGUUCCAAUAUUACCCCUCAAAUUUAACACAAUAACUCUCUAACAAUAAGAAAAUUUAAAAUCACCUUAAAAAAAGGGUUGACAAGGCAGCUUAGGGAUACUAAAGAUUCCAGAAAAAAUAUAACACAAGAAGAUGGCUAGAAUGUUUAUCAGCCUUACGUGAUAGUUUUGGCAUGAUUAUUAUAGGAAGUAUCAUAGGAAGGAAAAAAAAAAAGAAGAAAGGAGCAGAAAUGGCAUUUGGAGGCCUUGAACAAUAAUGAAAACAAAGUCUCAUAUAUACCAUGGCCGUUGGAAAUUUAUCACCAACAUGACUAAAUGAUAUAGAAAGUAACAUUGUUAUGAUUUACAAUGGGAGACUAGUAGGACUCAGAAAUUGACAUUCAUCACUGUAUGACUCACUGAUUCUAAGCAUAGAUGAGCUGCAAAAGAAAAGGCCAAAGUACCUGUUGCAGAACACAACUAGGCUAGAGCACCAGCAAAAUUGGCAUAAACACAGGUCUCUAGGGUGCUUGAAACCAUGCAAUCCAUGGGUCGGAUCCUGCCAUGAGAAAACCAUAACUAAGGUAGAUGGAUAGUUCUAAUGAUAGACAGAGACUUAAGUGAUACCUUUAUGAACACACUACAAGAAAAAAACACUUUUAGCAAUAUUGUUAGUUUAAGGAUUAACAAGAAACAACAUUUUUGCCAAUUUCAUGAGUAUAGAGUAAAUUACUGCCACUAACAAGUUUUUCAAAAAUUUAGCAACUAGAACAUUAAAACAAGAGCUCACGUACAUCUUUACCUUUAUGAGCAACUCUAGAGAAUCUUCUGCACACAAGAAUAAAAUAUAGAAUGAGCCCUGUGUCCAUGAAAAAAUAUAGCUAAGAAAAGAUGAUUCAAUAUGUGAAUGAAAGAUUCAAUGAAUCACACAUGCACAUACCUUAGAAAGCUCUUCACUGUUGGAUCAACCAAUUCAAACUUACCUCAAUACAUUAGCUUCUAUAUCCACAACCUUCAAAAAAAAAGUAACCCUAAAUUUAACAAAAGCCAAAAAUAAAGAAAAACAUUGAGAAGUAAAAAACAUAACUAACUUGCUUAGUUUAGUGUUAAAAAUAUAGCAAAACUAAAAAGGGAAAAUAUCAAGUAAAAGGCUACAUCUAAGUAUCAUCUAAUAAUAAUACACACGUGCACACAUAAAUGGAUUGAUGGACUACUAAUAUAAGCUUAUUACCCUUCAACAUUCUGUUCCUCACAGUAGCUUUCAAAGGAGAUAAAGACUCUUAAUCAGAACAGCUUACCAAAGGUGCCUUGUUAACUCUGCUUCCGUGCAUCCAAUCACUUGAGCUGUGCAAGGUAAAGAUCAGUAAACUUAUUAAGAGACUAACAGAAAGAAAUGAUUAAUGCUAGACAACCACUUGCCAGAGAGAUUGUGAUAUGAUUAAUUUAAUGGCAAACAAGAACCAAUUUAUGAACAAGAGAAGAAGUGAAGAAUCAAUGGUGAUUGAGUUUUAGUUUGUGAUAUAAUUAAUUUAAUGGCCUCUGUUUCACUAUUUUGGUUUGUAUUGUUUAGUUUUGUUAUACGAACGCGAAGGAAGGCACUAAAAUCUCAACAAUGAAGGCAGAGGUGUAUUGUCAUCAAACAGUAUUUACGGUAGUUUCUCAUUAGCAUUGCAUGACAUCAUAAAAAUCAAUAGUUUGGAGAGAUAGGAGUUUCUCAAAGAUGGAGAUAUGGAGAGGUACGAAAAAGAAGAAAGGUAUAGUAGAACUGAAGAGACAAAAAUGAGUUGUGGGUUAAAUAAAAUAGUACCAUAAAUAUUACUGUUAAAAUUAAUUAAAGGCUGAGAUUAAACACUGGAGGGUGUUAAUUUUUAUUGGCACUAGAGAGGAUCUGUUUCCAUGUGUGUGAGACAGAGAGAGACAUUAUAAGAGGGUGAAAGGGAUGAGCAUGUGAAGUGCGUGUGUGACCAUAGUUAUUAGAACCAAACUGGUAAUUGUUCUAGUCAUACGAUCGGAUUACCAGAUCAUUCGUUCAACUAGUGGGUUACUGAUUCACCCGGUUGACUCAAUUAUAAUUAAAUAAAAAUGUAAAAUUAUAAAAAUAAAACAAAAAUCAAAAGUUGAAACUUAAAAUGGAUGCAUCCACAAACAUAUUAAUAACGAUCAAAUAUUAAUUUUUAGACAUAACCAAUGAUGCAAAAAGAGAUAAUAAACUAGUCACUAGUACAAAAUACUUUCUGAAUUUAAAUGAACAAAAAAGAGAGGAAAAAUAACACAAUCAGCACAUCAAAUUCAAGAGGUGAUCUCAAAGUCGAUAUCUAUAUCUUCAUAGGACAAAUUUAAAACUUGACAAAUAUUUUCUUUAUUUUGAUUUGCAUCUAUAUCUACAUUUGUGUAUUUUUCACAAAUUAAUACCAAGAAUAAUUCAUAAUAGCACCUGAGUUGUGAUGAAGACAUUUUUAAAAUUCUAGCAAAAAAAACAAACAAAGAGCAUGGGAACAACAAUUUAACUGAACAAUUUAUUCUGUGUUGCAGAGAGCAUGAACCUCAUUUUCAACAACAAAUUCAACUAUGAUAAUUUUUAGCAACAAAAGAUUUAGCUCAAAAGAUUAUUUAUAGCAACAAAAUUUUAGCUAAGUGAUUAUUUCAGCAAAACAACAGAUUCAAGUUUAAAUGAUGAUAAUCAGUAACAAAUUCAACUCGGUGAUGAUUUUCAGCCAAAACAAAUAGUUCCAACAUGUUCAGCAAUAAAGUCAAGGUGCAGUGAUGAAUGAUAGCAACCAAAAUUUAGCUGGGUGAUUUUUUCAACAAAACAGUAACAAAUUCAAAGUUCAGUGAUGAUAAUCAGUAAACAAUUCAACUCAUUGAUGAUUUUUAGCCCAAAAGAAAUUAGCUCAGUGAUAUUUUCAGCAACAAAUUCAAAGUGCAGAGAUGAACAGCAACAAAAUUGAGCAAGAAAGAACAGGGAAAUUUGUUGGAACUCACCAAAUCGGGGACCAGCUACUGACGGCGAGGUGGAAGAAAACGGCGAGGCUCGAAGCAAGAAGACGACAACGACGACCAGCCCCGAGGCCUGCUGCUUCUGCCGUCGGCGACGACGAGCGCAGGGAAGGCGCGCGCUGACUGCAAGACGUUGACGAGACACAGAGCGACGACGAGCUUGACUGCAAGACCGGAGACGAGAGAGCUUGAGUGCGAGAGCGACAGUGAGAAAGAUGAGAGAGUGACGAGACUGAGACACUGAGGGGUGGCCUGGUGGGUGCGAGAGGAAGAGGAAGUAGACGUUCACUGAGCAAAUUAGGGUUUUG
rnacentral:lncRNA from 1 species